UACGAAGGGGGCUAGCGUUGCUCGGAAUCACUGGGCGUAAAGGGUGCGUAGGCGGGUCUUUAAGUCAGAGGUGAAAGCCUGGAGCUCAACUCCAGAACUGCCUUUGAUACUGAAGAUCUCGAGUUCGGGAGAGGUGAGUGGAACUGCGAGUGUAGAGGUGAAAUUCGUAGAUAUUCGCAAGAACACCAGUGGCGAAGGCGGCUCACUGGCCCGAUACUGACGCUGAGGAGCGAAAGCGUGGGGAGCGAACAGG
rnacentral:rRNA from 1 species